rnacentral:pre_miRNA from 14 species
UUCUCUCUUCCAGACGGUCCCUUCCGACUGCUUGGCACUCGCGAACACCGCGGUCGAAGUUACUCGCGGAGUUAGCCAGUGUCAACCAGAUGGAUGCUCGAGACUUCCUUUUUGAAUG